rnacentral:lncRNA from 1 species
UAUUUGGUUUGUGGAUUUAAGGUUGUCUUGGAUUGAAUAUUGGGAUGUAUUUUGAGCGCUCACUUUGGUUCAUUGUGUAACCAAAUAAUCUGUUUAUUUUAUGGUUUAUUUUCCAGUUUAUUUUAAGUGCUUAUUUUGAUAAGCAGUUUUUUUUUUAAAUUUUGAAUUUGGUUUUGCAUUUGCAGGUGAUGUGAUGUUGAAUUGAUUGAAAAGGGGCGCUGGC